rnacentral:snRNA from 1 species
GAAAUUCUGGCAUUACUUGAAUUCGCUUGAGCUAUACAAUGAAGAUUAGCAUAGGCCUUGUGUAAGGAUGUCACAUACAAAUCGAGAAGCAGUUCAAGUGUUU